GACGAACGCUGGCGGCAGGCCUAACACAUGCAAGUCGAGCGCACCUUCGGUUGAUCGGCGGACUGGUGAGUAACGCGUGGGAAUAUUCCCUUCUCUACGGCAUACUCCUGGGUAACUGGUAGUAAUACCGUAUACGCCCUUUUGGGGGAAGAUUUAUCGGGGUGGGAUUAGCCCGCGUUGGAUUAUGUGGGUGGUGGGGUAAUGGCCUACCAAGCCGACGAUCCAUAGCUGGUUUGAGAUGAGGAUAAGUCACACUGGGACUGAGACACGGACCAGACCCGGACGCAGGGGAGGAGAGGAGAAUAUUAGACAAGGGAGGCAACCGUGAUAAAGCCAUGCGGGGGAAGAGAGGAAGCGGGUAGGGUAGCAAAGCCGUCUCAGAUGAGAAGAGAAUGACGGUAAUAGGAGAAGAAGCACCGGCUAACUACGUG
rnacentral:rRNA from 1 species